rnacentral:rRNA from 1 species
UACGAAGGGGGCUAGCGUUGUUCGGAUUUACUGGGCGUAAAGCGCACGUAGGCGGAUUGUUAAGUCGGGGGUGAAAUCCUGGAGCUCAACUCCAGAACUGCCUCGAUACUGGGAGUCUCGAGUCCGGGAGAGGUGAGUGGAACUGCGAGUGUAGAGGUGAAAUUCGUAGAUAUUCGCAAGACACCAGUGGCGAAGGCGGCUCACUGGCCCGGUACUGACGCUGAGGUGCGAAAGCGUGGGGAGCAAACAGG